UGUGUUAUUUCUACCUAAUAAAUGUGCACCAUAAAGUGUGAGCAUUAUUUUCUUUCCUGGAAAAAUUUUUGAAAGUAGCUUUUCGUAUAUGUCCAUAUUUAUUACUGCCUAGCUUUUUAUAAUGUCCACAUCUCUGGAGUGUGUCAUUUUGAUAUUUUUGUUCUUGUAGAUGGCUUUUAAAGCAGGAAAAGACUUGAGAGGUGUAAAAGAAGGAAAUACAAGAUCUGAAGGAUCCCCAAACGCCCAAGUGAGGCUGCAAAGUAGAGAAGACUUGAAUGGCCUUGUAUCUUCAAAGAAGCGCCUUGAGCUCUGGAAUGCAACAAAGUAGGAGAAACCACUGAACACCAGGAAAUGUCAACAAUGAGGCGGGAAUGCCUGGGCAGAUACUAGAUUGGAGAUAUAUGGCAGAGUAAGAUGAGAAAAAGAAUUAGAAAUCUAUUUAUUCAU